UACGUAGGGGGCAAGCGUUGUCCGGAUUUAUUGGGCGUAAAGAGCGUGUAGGCGGUUUGGUAGGUCCGUUGUGAAAACUCGAGGCUCAACCUCGAGACGCCGAUGGAAACCAUCAGACUAGAGUCCGGAAGAGGAGAGUGGAAUUCCUGGUGUAGCGGUGAAAUGCGCAGAUAUCAGGAAGAACACCCGUGGCUAAGGCGGCUCUCUAGUACGGUACUGACGCUGAGGCACGAAAGCCAGGGGAGCAAACGGG
rnacentral:rRNA from 1 species